GUAAAAGGAGGAUCGACUAAGAUCGCCACGUCCUGUGGCAACGUUGAUCGACCCUACUUCGUGUAGG
rfam:Halobacillus halophilus DSM 2266 complete genome